UACGUAGGGUGCGAGCGUUGUCCGGAAUUAUUGGGCGUAAAGAGCUCGUAGGCGGCCUGUUGCGUCGGUUGUGAAAGCCCGGGGCUUAACCCCCGGGUCUGCAGUCGAUACGGGGCAGGCUAGAGUUCGGUAGGGGGAGAUCGGAAUUCCUGGUGUAGCGGUGAAAUGCGCAGAUAUCAGGAGGAACACCGGUGGCGAAGGCGGAUCUCUGGGCCGAUACUGACGCUGAGGAGCGAAAGCGUGGGGAGCGAACAGG
rnacentral:rRNA from 1 species